UCAAAGCCCCAAAAGACGUUUUAUAUGGAAUUUACUAUCGGAGAAUAUCCAGUCCGGUCCAACACUCAAAUUUUUGUAUCGAGGUAUAACGUGACAUUCUUAACUUUAUAGCAAAAGCCCCAUCUUUAAUAAAUAUAGAAGCUCUGAUCGUCUGGUCAUUACGUAAUGUUCUUAGAUUUGGGGUAUUUUUUCUUUCGUUAAAGACCAGACGAGCAAAACUUAUGACUUUAGAAACACGAGAUGACGACAAAGUUGAACAAGUGGAAACCAACCUGGAAGACGAAUCCAGUUAUUAUGAAUAUUAAAUUAUUAUUGAUUGACCUUUGUAUAUAAUAUGUAUAUAAUGUAAAUUUUGUAUUACAUCCAGUAGGUAAUAACCAGAAGAAACGAAAAA